rnacentral:rRNA from 1 species
AUUGAACGCUGGCGGCAUGCCUUACACAUGCAAGUCGAACGGCAGCAUGGAGGAGCUUGCUCCUCUGAUGGCGAGUGGCGAACGGGUGAGUAAAGCAUCGGAACGUACCGUGUAGUGGGGGAUAACGUAGCGAAAGUUACGCUAAUACCGCAUACGCACUGAGGUGGAAAGCAGGGGAUCGCAAGACCUUGCGCUAUACGAGCGGCCGAUGUCGGAUUAGCUAGUUGGUAGGGUAAAGGCCUACCAAGGCGACGAUCCGUAGCGGGUCUGAGAGGAUGAUCCGCCACACUGGGACUGAGACACGGCCCAGACUCCUACGGGAGGCAGCAGUGGGGAAUUUUGGACAAUGGGCGCAAGCCUGAUCCAGCCAUGCCGCGUGAGUGAAGAAGGCCUUCGGGUUGUAAAGCUCUUUCAGACGGAAAGAAAUCGGUGUGUCUAAUACACGCACUGGAUGACGGUACCGUAAGAAGAAGCACCGGCUAACUACGUG